GAUGAACGCUGGCGGCGUGCCUAAUACAUGCAAGUCGAGCGAACGGACGAGAAGCUUGCUUCUCUGAUGUUAGCGGCGGACGGGUGAGUAACACGUGGAUAACCUACCUAUAAGACUGGGAUAACUUCGGGAAACCGGAGCUAAUACCGGAUAAUAUUUUGAACCGCAUGGUUCAAAAGUGAAAGACGGUCUUGCUGUCACUUAUAGAUGGAUCCGCGCUGCAUUAGCUAGUUGGUAAGGUAACGGCUUACCAAGGCAACGAUGCAUAGCCGACCUGAGAGGGUAAUCGGCCACACUGGAACUGAGACACGGUCCAGACUCCUACGGGAGGCAGCAGUAGGGAAUCUUCCGCAAUGGGCGAAAGCCUGACGGAGCAACGCCGCGUGAGUGAUGAAGGUCUUCGGAUCGUAAAACUCUGUUAUUAGGGAAGAACAUAUGUGUAAGUAACUGUGCACAUCUUGACGGUACCUAAUCAGAAAGCCACGGCUAACUACGUG
rnacentral:rRNA from 1 species